CCUACGGGCGGCAGCAGUGGGGAAUAUUGGACAAUGGGCGAAAGCCUGAUCCAGCCAUGCCGCGUGUGUGAAGAAGGCCUUCGGGUUGUAAAGCACUUUCAGUGGGGAAGAAAGCCUUGGGGCUAAUACCCUCGAGGAAGGACAUCACCCACAGAAGAAGCACCGGCUAACUCCGUGCCAGCAGCCGCGGUAAUACGGAGGGUGCGAGAGUAAUCGGAAUUACUGGGCGUAAAGCGCGCGUAGGCGGUCUGAUAAGCCGGUUGUGAAAGCCCCGGGCUCAACCUGGGAACGGCAUCCGGAACUGCCAGGCUAGAGUGCAGGAGAGGAAGGUAGAAUUCCCGGUGUAGCGGUGAAAUGCGUAGAGAUCGGGAGGAAUACCAGUGGCGAAGGCGGCCUUCUGGACUGACACUGACGCUGAGGUGCGAAAGCGUGGGUAGCAAACAGGAUUAGAUACCCCGGUAGUC
rnacentral:rRNA from 1 species